GGGWGAAGUCGUAACAAGGUAGCCGUAGGGGAACCUGCGGCUGGAUCACCUCCUUUCUAAGGAGUCAUUGACUCUAAAGAAAACUCGGGCCAAGGGCCACCUCUUCAAUACAUCCUUACACAACACUACGAAGUAGAUUCAGGUAUCGGUUCAGACGGAGACUUUCCAUGAGGAGAGUUCGCGAUACAGGCCCUGGUCGCUUCAGACUCAGCUGGGCCUGUAGCUCAGUUGGUUAGAGCACGCGCUUGAUAAGCGCGGGGUCGAUAGUUCAACUCUAUCCAGGCCCACCAUUCGUGCAGAGUCACACGUCCAUUGUCAGGCGUCAUUCGGGAGAGAGCUCCGACACGCUUCACGUAUGACGCUUCACGAUUGACGGGCUUCUGGGGCUGUAGCUCANUUGGGAGAGCACCUGCUUUGCAAGCAGGGGGUCGUCNGUUCAAUUCCGUCCAGCUCCCCCAAAUCUUNUGGUGUGAUGCAACGGAGCUCGCUCUGUUGCUCAACUUCU
rnacentral:misc_RNA from 1 species